GAAGACUUUAAGAAAGGCAGGUCUGAGGCAGAAAGAAAGUCAGCACUAGUGUUGCAAGAAGACUACAAGCAGGCUGGGGGAGAGGAGCUUAUCUCUCUCCAUUGCUACAGAGACUUGACUAGAAGGAGACCCAUCUGUCAGGUGUUUGAUGGUCAUCAGAAGAUGACCCCAGAG